AGGUUCACCACUUUGCCAUACCUGGGCCUGUUGAUGGGCCCUGCUACCAGCACCCACCUCUGCCUGUUGUGUUCAGGUGGUCAGGAGUGUGCCCUAGUCAGAGAGGGGCUGAGUCAGCCCCUGCUCCUGGCUCACCUCUCUUAGCAGCAGCUUGUCUUCAAUGUCAAAAGAUGUCAAAAGCAAAGAUAUACUACAAGAUUAUCUACAAACCCCAGUCAGAGGAGGGAGCUACUUUUGUGUUGUCAAAAAAUAUGUAGGAGGUCAGGACGCUGCUGUGCCUGAUGACUGUAGCCCAUCCCAUCUUCUCAAACACUGCUUGCUCCUAAAUAGUUUCCAAGUGAGUUUGUCCAAUAAACUUCAAGUCAGACUAGCCUGUGAACUAGAAGAAAUCUCAGUCUGGAAACUCAACAUCCUGAC